GUCUACCUUCCUGUCCCCAGAAACAAAACAGAAAAAGCCUGGACUUUGCAGUCUUCCGUUUGAAUUGUACAGGUGUCUCUUAACGUUCAAAAGGCUAACCUGGAGGUGUGCUGUGUGUCUCCAGGUGCCAGUACGGCUGGCAAGGCCUGUACUGUGAUAAGUGCAUCCCGCACCCGGGAUGCGUCCACGGCAUCUGUAAUGAGCCCUGGCAGUGCCUCUGUGAGACCAACUGGGGCGGCCAGCUCUGUGACAAAGAUCUCAAUUACUGUGGCACCCAUCAGCCAUGUCUCAACGGGGGAACUUGUAGCAACACAGGCCCUGACAAAUAUCAGUGUUCCUGCCCUGAGGGGUAUUCAGGACCCAACUGUGAAAUUGCUGAGCACGCCUGCCUCUCUGAUCCCUGUCACAACAGAGGCAGCUGUAAGGAGACCUCCCUGGGCUUUGAGUGUGAGUGUUCCCCAGGCUGGACCGGCCCCACAUGCUCUACAAGUAAGUCCAGUUUUCAGCCUGUGUCCAUUCUAAGGAUCCUUGUGCCAAGAUACCACGCUGGGGAGAGGUACCUAGGCUUGUCCAGUGUGAAUGUCUCAGUGAGAGAGGGGCGGGUGCAGGCCUAAGUCUGGUAAGCAGUCUGGUGGCUUGUGUGUUUGGAAGUCUCCCAGCACCCCCAUCCUGUCCCACUAAGGUAGCGCAUGUAUCUGUUCUUGGAAGGAACAUCCUCGUGGAAUCGCUUGUUCCUUUGCAUCUGCUUCCUGGAGCUGGCCACCUUCCAAUUGUGGUUAUUCUUCUUGCAGCCAUGGAGAGGCUGCCUUCAGGGGAGGUUGUCACUUACUACUGGAU
rnacentral:sRNA from 1 species